UUUUUCAGGUCUUCACCCUGCAGCCCAAUACCGGUUACUCACUGAAGCUAAGCAGGGCUGAGCCCUGGUCAGUACCUGUAUGGAGACCACAUGGGAACACUAGGUUGCUGUUGGAA
rnacentral:rRNA from 1 species